rnacentral:rRNA from 1 species
AGCUCCAAUAGCGUAUAUUAAAGUUGUUGCAGUUAAAAAGCUCGUAGUUGGAUUUGGGACUGGAGUCGUCGGGUCGGCCGCGAGGUCUGUUACUGGACGGCUCCGUCAUUUCAUCUCUCGGAGACCCGUCGUGCACUUCGCUGUGCGCGGCGCGGGACUCGGGACGUUUACUUUGAAAAAAUUAGAGUGCUCAAAGCAGGCUUUAGCCUGAAUUCUGUUGCAUGGAAUAAUAAAAUAGGACUUCGGUACUAUUUUGUUGGUUUUCUGUACAGAAGUAAUGAUUAAAAGGGACAGACGGGGGCAUUCGUAUUUCCGGGGGAGGGGUGAAAUCCGUAGAUCCUGGAAAGACGACCAACUGCGAAAGCAUUUGCCAAGAAUGUUUUCAUUAAUCAAGAACGAA